ACAAAACUUUCCCUGUUUGGAGUUCCUCUGUUUCAUCAUUUUGUUACUUAUCUAGGAAAUAACGAUUACAUUGUUUCUUCCUUCUAUUCUAGGUAUCUUGGAUAUUAUCUUAAACUUCCCGGGUUUCCACAGAUGGAAAUUUACUGAAAUUUUGAGAAAUAUUCUCAAGAUCGCUGUAAGUCUCGCUUGGUGUGUAGUCUUACCGCUUUGCGAUGCCCAGUCCAAUUCUUCUGCUCCUGGGAUGCUGAAGCAAUGGAUAUCAUUCCUUCCACGAGACGUUAAAGGGGUUCCCCCGCUCCAUAUCUUGGCUGUCGCUCUUUGCUUGCUCCCAAAUGUGCUGACGGCUAUCAUGUUCAUUUUCCCUAUGCUUCGACGCUGGAUUGAGAAUUCAGACUGGCAUAUAAUUAGAUUGCAUGUCUGGUGGUCACAGGUAUGAUGCUGGAUUUAUAAUUCCUUUCUUUUCAUCCUGGAUGAAAAUUAUGAUUCUGUUUAGUCAGCAAAUCCCUUUAGGCAUGCUAGAAGAGCUCUGAACUCUGUUAUGUCUUAUGUUUUAUAUAUUGCAGUGCUAAUGGCAUAAAUUAUUUGAGUAUUUUCUAUAUAUUUAAAUUGCAUUGUAUGAUUGUAUCUAGAGGCUAUCUCUUGGCUCAGUUUAGCAGCUCAAAUAUGACUGAACCACCACAAACCUCACCGGCUAUUCUUUUUGAUGUUUGCAAUAAGAGACAAGAUUAUAUAUAUAAAAGCUCAUGCGUCCAUGGUUCUUAGUGUCUUUGUCUUUUUUAGUUUCUUUUUUUACUAGGAAACUUCUGAUAUUUGUAUGUAUUUGAUUCAUUCUUCUUAGUGUCUUUGUCUUUUUUAGUUUUUUUUUUUUUACUAGAGUGUUGUUUUUUGUCUGUCUAAAGACAUACUCUCUGGGUUAUCUCAUAAAACGAAGAGGUGUAAUAAAUUGCUCCUUAUCAACUGGACACGCACUGAAAAUACUAAAGAUUACCCAUAUUGGGAUCUAAACUAUUUUUUUCAUCCCCGGAUGCUGAAGAUUACAACGUAGGCCAAAUUGGCCAACAAGUCCACGGUGGUGCACCACGAGGAAAAUCUCAUCACAUUCAUGAUCCGAUGAAAGAGGUUAGGAGGAGAUAGUUCCUCCAGGCACAAAGGAUUUUCAUGUCAUGGCUACUUCCCACACUAAAGUCUGAGCCAAACAAAGCAGUGGAACCAGUACGAGGCCCCAAUACCUCUCACGGACACGAAGCUCUGCCUCAUCAUGCAGGACCCUUAGGUGUGUCGGAAAAAUAAGAAAAAGAGGCGUAGGAAAACGUAUAACACACUCGUGUCUUUACUCUCUCUGACAUGAGAUGUCACUAGAACAUUUGUUCUUGGUGACCUUAGAGUCAACAUCGAGAGAGACAGAGGAUUGGAGGAAAUGACGGCUGCUCGGAUCUUGGUGGGAUCUCGAAUUAUAGUCCAAAGUCACUUUUCCCACCGGAAAAACUGGUGGAGAAAUUGGAGCAGCACAGCUCUUGCGAGGAGGAAAGGAACAUGUGAUGAUGUUCGACUAGGCUCCUGGAAGAGAGAGGGGAUACAGUCAAGAAGAAUGAAAUCAUACCUUCUUCUGAAACGGAAGCCUCUGCUGGUUGCGGUUAGGGCAAGCUGAACAUGCCUUAUAUGAUGCUAACGUCUGCAGAGAACUAAAACCUGAUUGGUCUAAAAGAUGUUGUUUCCGUGAAGGUGUUGCUCUUUGUUUCCUACAGAGAUUUGUUGAGGCAGCCAAUGCCUUUUUACGAAGGAGUAAAGCAAAGAGAUCAGUGAUGAGUUCAGAGAAGUUGUAGAUGCUCAAAAGGAAGUUUCCUGGCAAGGGAAAGAUUAAGGCCAAACCAUAAGAUCUUCUAGAGAAGGCUCUUUUUAGUAUAUGUAUGAAGUUUUGAUAUUGCUUCUUACCUUGGUCUCUCCCAUGACAUUGUUGCCUAUCUUUACUUACACGUACUAAAAACUUCAGGCAUAAAAUUUUGUUUGUGCUCUGAUUUUGUCAUUGUGUUUGGAUUUACAAUUUUGAUUUUUAAAAAUUGUAAACAAUGAUUUUAUUUGUUAUACUUAACAUUUUCUUUUUGCCACCAAAAA